rnacentral:rRNA from 1 species
UACGAGGGGGGCGAGCGUUGUUCGGAAUUAUUGGGCGUAAAGGGUGCGUAGGCGGUUUGGUAAGUCUGAUGUGAAAUCUAUGGGCUCAACUCAUAGUCUGCAUCGGAAACUGCCGGGCUUGAGUGUGGGAGAGGUGAGUGGAAUUCCUGGUGUAGCGGUGAAAUGCGUUGAUAUCAGGAGGAACACCCAUGGCGAAGGCAGCAAACUGGUCAUCAACUGACGCUGAGGCGCGAAAGCGUGGGUAGCAAACAGG